UUUAAAUCCUUUAACGAGGACCCAUUGGAGGGCAAGUCUGGUGCCAGCAGCCGCGGUAACUCCAGCUCCAAUAGCGUAUAUUAAAGUUGUUGCGGUUAAAAAGCUCGUAGUCGGAUGUCUGUCUUCGGCCGGGCGGCGCCGCUCUGAAUCAAGGGUGCGCGUUUCGUCUUGGGACUCGGGUGUCAAAGCCCGGGUCUCUUCGCGGUCGGACAACACCGCCGGAGUGGUGACGGUGGUGCUUCGGUGGGGGCUUCGGUCUCCGUCGGGGUGCGCCCCACCCGUAAUCGUGCGGGGUGCCCUUCAUCGGGUGUCUCGCACGGCCGGCAACGUUUACUUUGAACAAAUUAGAGUGCUCAAAGCAGGUGCAACCCACGCCUGAAUAUCACAGCAUGGAAUGAUGGAAGAGGACCUCGGUCUUAUUUUGCUGGUCUUUUCUAGACCCGAGGUAAUGGUCAAUAGAGACGGACGGGGGCAUUCGUACUGCGGCG
rnacentral:rRNA from 1 species